rnacentral:lncRNA from 1 species
UCCCUCUAAAUACCAUAGAUAAUCUUGAGUACAACAUCCUGAAACUUUGAGCUCUUUUAGAGCCCCCUCUAGUAUUUGCAAUCAACUAUGUUUGGUAUUGGGCCCAAUUAGCAGCUGCAAACUGUUGUAGUUGCAUCCAUUGUGUCACCUUUGUUCUAGAGAAGUAUUCUUCUUCGUGCAUAAAGAUGUUAGGCGUAGCAACAUUAUUUUACUUCUGGGUACCGAAUCUAUCUAUUACAUUGUAUCUAGGGCUUUCCCUGACAACAUAAGCGAUGAGAGCAUAUUUCCAUUUCUCUGUUUCACGGAUUACCUCUUUCUUCUCCAGCUGAACAACAAUUUUGCCUUCAAUUUGCUAUGGUGGGAUGUAUGUCAAUGUCGAAUGAUUCUCAGCAACACGAUUCUUCUAAAAUAAAUUAUCUCAAAAUUUCUCCUCAAUUUCCUUCCUCUUAGAAAUCGCUUCUUUUGGGGUAAGGGUUACUGUAGUUCACUGAUAUUUUGUUCUUCAACCACAAUUUUUCCAGUUCUCGAGCUACUGAACUUACCUAGAUUUAGUAUUGAUCAGUAAUUGCUUGGAGACGCUGCCAGUACGUUGGUUGGAAU